CUCUUACUAAUUUUACUCAGGGACUUGCAGGCAGAGAUCAAGCAGACAAGUAGCUGAAAGCUGAGGGUGUUGUGCCCUGGUGCUUUGAUAGCAGAGCUUUAUUUACAAGUGCAGCAUUACACAGGAUAACCUUUGCCUGCUGGACACAGGCAGUAUCAUCCGUUAGCUCUGUUUGCUGAAAGCCUGCCACAAGCACACCACCCCUCAAAACCUGAGGCACGCUUUUCCAGACCUUUUACUCCACAAAUUCUCCAAAGGAAAAUGGAUUAACGUGAGGAUGGAAUGAAGAAGGCACACAGCACGGGCCGUGCUGCGAUCCCCGGGCAGCCAUCAGCGAUGGGCUCACAUCCACCAGGAAGAAAGGGAGGCCUGACCGUGCCGGACCAAAGAAAUCUCACCAGACAAAGGAAAAACAAAUCAAAAGCGCUGUUAUAAAACACAGAUGCUCUAAGGAAAACAAGCUUCACAGGAUUUGCUGGUUGGUCACAAAGCUGGACAUCUGUGGAAAAGACAUCAGCAGGAGCCCCCAGCACACCGGGACCGCAGCCCCAGCCAACUGCAUGGAAGGUGUCAGCAACCCAGAGUCCAGCACAGCACCAAAGCUACACUCUGUAACAUACAUGUUCCAGCAUAAUCUGUAAUCUUCUCCAGUCGGAAGAGGAAACAGCGGCGCCCCGGUGAGAAAUGCUGCCUUGUGACCUGACUAGAGAGCCCUGUGGAAGCAAGGCCUGUGUGCAGAAGUCAUUUGGAAGAGUCUGACAGACAAACCCAACAGCGUCCAGAGAAGCACGCUCAGUACCACAAGCACCGACUGCUGCCAAGAUGGGUUUCUCCUCUUCUGUUUUGUUUCAUGCAGUCAAACAAAUUUAUCUUGAUUUGUAAAAUGUUACCCAUUCUCCAAGAAAAAGUCAGGAAACUCAAAGUAUUUUACUUAUCAGUCUAACUAUAUUAAAGUUACAUUGCAAUUUCCUUGAAUUGUAUACUACCAAAAUUAGCUUCAUUUCACACCCAUACUCUCAGUACUUCAAAUACAAUCAGCCAUUAAAGACAGAAUACUACAUAUUAGCCACAGCACGUAUGCACACAGCAUUUAGCUACUUGGAGCAAUUCUCUCAGCUGAGCUGGUGCAAGUCCAAAGCCUAUCACUAACUUGAUUCCAUUCAAACUAGUGGGAGAAAAUAACAAGAAAAUAACACAGGCAUUUGUUUUCAUGUCACUGAAAACUGCUUGAUAUCGAACCUUUUGAAACACAGCUGCACUAAAUCUCACGAUGACUCUAAGAAAGCCAAACUUUCUGUAUUUCCACAUCCAGGCAAGGCACGUGAUGGUGACAGAGGAGCUCUUAAGUGCUCUGCCAGGGUAUGCAUGCACCAGUCCAAGUGUCUCAGUCAUAGAUGUGACAGUCUCCUCUGCCCUCUCAUCCAACCUCCUUGAAUUGCAUCUCCUCCAACUCCUCGUCAGCAUCUUCCUCUCAAAACUGGAACGUUUCUCCACAAUGCUUCCUUCUUCUGCCUGAAGUCUUUUUUCUUCAACCACCUUCUGUUUCAAAAACUUUGUCCUUCAUUUACAGGGUCCCAUCAAUACAGAAGAUUCUCCUCUCCAGAUGAGAGACACCCUUGCUGCCCGUUAUCUCUACUGUCCAAAAGAAAAGAAAUUACACCUGUGGUUUGGAAGAAUCAAGGAGGAGAAGAAGCCACCUGUACCAGAGCAGUAACUGUCCCAGGCUUGUGGCACCUCCUCCCAGCAGCUGUGAGGACAUCCAUAUUCUUAGCUGCCUUGUGUAAAAAAUGUCUCCUUGAAAAUUUGAAACAAAUGGCUGCUUCUUCCCUUGCUGUUUCCCCUCCUCAUUUUGCACUGAUAUCACUUUGCUACGCUAACAUUGCUCAAAAACCUGCUUGGUAAAGCUGCCUUGAAUCAUUUCAUUAGAAAACAACCCCUCUGCCACACAUACAAUUCUGGCCUCAUAAACACCCUUCAGGAUUUAUUUAACUAAAAAUAUUGUUGGUGCUAAGUUCAAGACCAUUUAUGGGCAAAACUCUCCCUAAAGUAAAAACAGCAAAACUUGAUUGCCAGCUGGCAAUCAGGCCAGUUGGCUCCAGGCUUUGCAGUGCCAUUGCAGCAGUAACACCUCGGCUGGUUUGCUCCAGAUGCUGGUUAACAGCAAAAUGAGCCAAAGUGGCCUUUCUGCUCUUAAGUCAUCUCCAGUAAAUGCCAGCCACAGGCAGGGAGAGGUCCGGACAGUUGCCAUGCUGGUUGUAGCAGGCACUGCACCUUCGACUCCACACAGAUUAAUGGCCUGCAAGAUUGGCUUCUUCUAACUUCUUCUUCUAAGCUAUGGAGUAUUUUGCAAAUCUCUCCUGCGCCAGAAGCCGUGUAGUUGUAGCUAUCCCAGGACUCCUCCUCCUCGCCAUGCCUAUCAGUCAGAACUCCAUCAACACAGUUAUGAAUACAAAGCCUUCUUUCAGGAGUGACUCUGAGGCAAUUCAGAAUAGUGAACUUCGGAAAAGUUGGGUCUCUCAGACUUCUCUACCAAAUGGUACAGAAUAAAACUAUUUUUACAAAUGCAGCUUUCUACUAUUUGGACAGCAGAGCCAGAAAACCUGGUUGGUUUGUGUUAGAAAACCACAUUUGAGUAAUCCAGAAAUUUCUGAAGGACGCUUCUCUAUGCAGUUGCAUUGGGUGAGGAGACAGGGAAUGUUAAAUAGGAGCCUUUACCCAAAUUUAACUUAUCAGGAUUUAGUACCUAUAAUAAACUACAUCUUAAUACA